rnacentral:rRNA from 1 species
GACGAACGCUGGCGGCGUGCUUAACACAUGCAAGUCGAGCGGUAAGGCCCUUCGGGGUACGACGAGCGGCGAACGGGUGAGUAACACGUGGGCGACCUACCUCUAGCUCUGGGAUAAGCCUGGGAAACUGGGUCUAAUACCGGAUAUGACUCCACGGCGCAUGUUGUGGGGUGGAAAGCCUUGUGUGGCUAGAGAUGGGCCCGCGGCCUAUCAGCUUGUUGGUGGGGUGANGGCCUACCAAGGCGACGACGGGUAGCCGGCCUGAGAGGGCGACCGGCCACACUGGGACUGAGACACGGCCCAGACUCCUACGGGAGGCAGCAGUGGGGAAUCUUGCGCAAUGGGCGAAAGCCUGACGCAGCGACGCCGCGUGAGGGAUGACGGCCU